UGUGGCACGAUUGUAAUAAUAACGAAUGUUUAUGCCUGAGUUCCAAGACACCCAAAACAAAAAAAAAGGUCUUUUACCUCGGUUAUAAAAAAAAAAAGUAUAAAAAUCUGUUAUUUCCACCUAUUUUCUCCAAGUCAGACCUUUCCUCUCACAAACAUUUUUUGGAAACGCCUAUUGCUUCGAUUGAAAGGAAACCGAGGCAUGAAAGCCUGUCAAAUCCACUUCUCUAUACAGUUUAAAGAAAGGUUCAUAGGCUUCGGUUAUAAUGUUAACCGAGGCAUAAAUGUUUGAAUUAAUUCUGGAUUGCCAUUUACUUUCUGAGUACUUUAGGCAUCGGGUGGGGCUAAUAACUGAGGUAGUAUCACUUGGUUAACUUAAAGAAAUUUUAAUCUACUAUGUUCAUUCUCUUCUUCGCAACCUCGCGUUCUUCUGCUUCCUCCGCCAUUCUUCUUCUUCUUUCUUGCGUUCUCCUUCUUCGUCCUUGUGCAAGAGUCGUUCUUCAUCUUCCUUGUGGCCAUUGCUGCUUCGUCUUCCUCACGGGCCAUUGCCAUUGCCCCUACAUUUUCCUUGCGAGCCAUUUCCACCACCUCGCGGGCCACUAUUGCAGCCUCUCGUCGUUGCUGCCAACAUCUUCGUCGCCGUGCAAUCGCCUCCGCCUCCACCUCACUCGUAGCGCCUCUGUUGUGGCUGCUGUGGCUGCUGUGGCAUCCACGGUUUUCCUCCUACCCGUGGUAAGUUGCCUUUGCUGUUGGGAGUGAAACAACUUCUCGAUACAAGCUCCUAGGGUUCUAAUCCAGAUCCCCAUCCCCAAUUUUAGUGUUGUUAUCCCCUUUCUCAGAUCUACAUUGCUUCAGUUGUUAUCCCCUUUCUCUCCCUUCUUUUUUUAUGUUUCUCAAAUCAUCUGGUGUUGUUCGUGGACUGCCUGUUACGAUUCUACGAUUCUAAUCAAUACGACAUCACCAUCCUGAUUUGAAAGGUUCAUAUUUCUUCUUCCACAUGCAAAUUACAUGUUAAACUUUUCAGUUUUGUUCAUUUUCUUUUGUAACACCAAUAUCAGGACCCGAAAAUAGGGAGCUGGUGGAUGAGUUUCGGCGAUGACACACUAGUGGGGAAUUGGCAGAUUGAGCCAAAUUCAUACAAGAGGGUUGGGAUUGAUAAGCUGAAGGGGUGUGAUAAAGGGAAUUCUUUUUGGACAGAAAAACGUGGAGAAGCAUCUGGAGAAGAAAGAUGUUGUAGUCCAUGGAAUUAUUUUUGGGAUAGAAAGGUAAAGCUGCCACGUGUGUGAGAUAAUUGUUUGGAAAAAGACAUGUGUUAGAGGUGGACAAGUGGCAGAGAGAUAAUUGUUUGGAAAAGGACAUGUGUUAGAGGUGGACAAGUGGCAGAGAGAGGUACUGGUCUCUAACUAAGAGGAGAAGGUGGUCAGUGACUGCAAAUGAAGAUGCUGCACAGGAAUUUCAACCAAAGAAGAGGCCACCAACAGAGACGAUGAGAAGAGGAAGAAGAAAAUUACACCUGGGAGUUUGAUGAAAGCUUUGAUUAGGCCAGGCACUCCAAUAAGGCAUGUUUUGGGCAAAAGCAAGAUGUUAUUGGGCUUACUAGAAGGAAUUCCUACAAUGUUGAAGGGUGAAGUGGCAAUGGUAACAUACUAAUUUUUGAAUAUUAUUGCCUUUGAUAUCGAAGGUUUUCCUGGUACUAUAAGCUAAAUUCAUCUUUGUCUCAUGCUUAAUCCAUUUUACACUCGAGCUUCUUACUAGUCUUCAUUUAUUAUGAUUUUAACUUAAAAAAGCUUAAGGUAAAACCUGCUGCAAUUCAAGGAGAUUUUUGUUUCAUUGGUAUAUCUAGAUUAAUAUUACUUCUACUAUGUUAAUCUAAGCAUAGAAGUUCUAAUCAUGGAGAUUUUUGUUUCAUUGGUAUAUCCUGAUAUUGGUGUACGAAAGAAGAAAGACUAAACUGAUGUUUCUGCUUCGCUUCAUCUACUUUCUUCGUUUUGUACAGUUACUUUGGAACUGCAAAUUUUUCAGUUGUGAAUGUUUUUCUUUGGUUCAUAUCAUUCAACUAAAAUCAAUGAUGUGUUCACGGCAAAAGAGGUAUAGAUUAUUCAUCUAUAGCAGUCAAAUAUUAUAAGAGCUAUGGCUCGGAGAAGAGCCUCACCUCGAUCUCCAUCCUCCACUCUCUGGCCGUUUUUACCAACCUCAACUUCAACUUCGACGUUUCCUCUCUCAACCGCCUCUUCGACGCUCCCGCGUUCCUGUUCUUCAAGGACCUCACCGUCGAUCGCAUCACCUUUAGAUUCUCCACCGGGUUCCCUCUGGCCUUCACGAUCGAACUUCACGGCGUGCGCGUCGUGCAAUCAUUCGAGAAGCCGGAAACUGAGGAAUGCGUGGUGCGGUUGUGAAAUUCGUGUUAAUGGUGAAGAAGCAAGGACAAACUCGUCUUGCACAGUAUUACGAGUUAAUGGUGAACAAUCAGAUUCUAUCUCACUUUAGAAGAAAGGCGAACCCUGGAAGGCGAAAUUGUUCGGAAAUGCCUCGCCCGUAGUGAUUACCAGGUGAAAGUGGCUCAGCUACAGCAGCAACAUCAACAAAAAUCAAGUACCAAUGCAC